GUGGAUAUGAUAGUCUACACCAUUUAAAACAGCUUCGCCUAAUGGACGAGAGCUUGAACUGCCACCUAAGAAAUUGUCCCAGAUAUAGGAUGCCACUUCGUAAGCUUCAGCGGUGGAAGAAAGGUUCGGAGCUCCAGCAAGAGAAAUUAACACUUGGAUGCCUAGGCUCUGGCAAAGUUCUAUCUCCGAACUUAGUAAGGGGCAAGUGGUCGAAUUACAAUGCCUUAAACUCAAUUCAGGUGUUCGGCCACCACCAAUAUUUCUCAGAAAGGCAAUAUUCACGUACUGAACAGGAGCUUUCACGUAGCGAACAGUACCUUCAGUGCAUAACUCCUUCAGGCUUCCUUCGGUAGCGUCUUGGCCCCAAUAGGUGGAAAUUCGAACAGCUUCGGAGG
rnacentral:lncRNA from 1 species